AUGAUAUCGAUACACAGGCAGUACCGAUUUGCCGCUCGCGCGCGCGUCCGUCGGUUACUUCACCUUGCCGAGCGUCGCCUUCUUCCACGUGGCCGCGACGUCCUCCAGCGCCCGGCGGGACGACCCUUCCGGCGACCACGCGCGCGCCGCCGCCUGCUGCAGGUCCCCGGCCUGCCGCCGUACGGCGCGCCCCUUCUCCGCACUCUCCAUCAGCUCCUUCACCGCGCCCGCGAUCUCGUCGCGCGCCACCACGCCGUCGGCCUCCCGCGGACGCAGCGGCAGCGCCACCCCGGCGCUCCCUACCAGGGCCACGGCGUUUAUCCGCUGCUCCGCGUACAGCGGCCACGCCACCAUCGGCACGCCGGCCGACACGCUCUCCAGAGUGGAGUUCCAGCCGCAGUGCGACACGAACACCGCCGUCGCCGGGUGGGACAGCACGCGCACCUGAGGCGCCCACGCCGCCACGGCCAGCCCCUUGUCCUUGGUCCUCUCCAGGAAGCCCUCCGGGAGCCACGCCAACGGGUUUGGGUUGUCGUCGUCACGGUCAUGGCCGUCCUUGCCACCGUCCAGAUUUGGCAUCCUCACGACCCAGAGGAACCGGUGGCCGCUCACUUCCAGCCCAGCGGCGAGCUCGGCCGUCUGCUCCACAGUCAGCGACCCGCCGCUCCCGAAGGAGACGUACACCACGGAUCCCGUCGGCUGGAGAUCGAGCCAGUCUAG
rnacentral:rRNA from 1 species